GACGAACGCUGGCGGCGUGCUUAACACAUGCAAGGCAAGGGGAGAGGCCCUGCUUGUGGGGUGCGCUCGAGUGGCGAGCGGGUGAAUAACACGAGAAUAACCUGCCCGUGACUGUGGUAAAACUUCAGGAAACUGGGGCAAAUACGGGAGAGGAGCUCCUUCUGCAGGGGGGGGGUGGGAGAGUUGCGGCGGUUGGGGAUGGACUCGGGGCUUAUCAGCUUGUUGGUGGGGUAGUGGCUUACCAAGGCUUUGACGGGUAGCCGGCCUGAGAGGGUGACCGGCCACAUUGGGACUGAGAUACGGCCCAGACUCCUACGGGAGGCAGCAGUGGGGAAUAUUGCACAAUGGGCGGAAGCCUGAUGCAGCAACGCCGCGUGCGGGAUGACGGCCUUCGGGUUGUAAACCGCUUUCGCCUGUGACGAAGCGUGAGUGACGGUAAUGGGUAAAGAAGCACCGGCUAACUACGUG
rnacentral:rRNA from 1 species